rnacentral:rRNA from 1 species
AAUAGAUACCCAGGUAGUCCUAGCCGUAAACGAUACUCGUUAGGUGUCGGCCACGGUGCGACCGUUGUCGGUGCCGUAGGGAAGCCGUGAAGCGAGCCACCUGGGAAGUACGGCCGCAGGGCUGAAACUUAAAGGAAUUGGCGGGGGAGCACCACAACGGGUGGAGCUUGCGGUUUAAUUGGAUUCAACGCCGGAAAUCUUACCGGGACCGACAGCAAUAUGAAGGCCAGGCUGAAGACUUUGCCGGAUUAGCUGAGAGGUGGUGCAUGGCCGUCGUCAGUUCGUACUGUGAAGCAUCCUGUUAAGUCAGGCAACGAGCGAGACCCACGCCCACAGUUGCCAGCGUACUCUCUGGAGUGACGGGUACACUGUGGGACCGCCGCUGCUAAAGCGGAGGAAGGAAUGGGCAACGGUAGGUCAGUAUGCCCCGAAUAUCCCGGGCUACACGCGAGCUACAAUGGUUGGUACAAUGGGUAUCUACCCCGAAAGGGGACGGGAAUCUCCUAAAACCAAUCUUAGUUCGGAUUGAGGGCUGCAACUCGCCCUCA